rnacentral:rRNA from 1 species
UACAGAGGGGGCAAGCGUUGUUCGGAAUUACUGGGCGUAAAGGGCGCGUAGGCGGCCUGUUAAGUCGAACGUGAAAUCCCUGGGCUCAACCCAGGAACUGCGUCCGAUACUGGCAGGCUUGAAUUCGGGAGAGGGAUGCGGAAUUCCAGGUGUAGCGGUGAAAUGCGUAGAUAUCUGGAGGAACACCGGUGGCGAAGGCGGGUCUCUGGGCCGAUACUGACGCUGAGGAGCGAAAGCGUGGGGAGCAAACAGG